rnacentral:rRNA from 1 species
GGAAUAUUGGACAAUGGGCGAAAGCCUGAUCCAGCAAUGCCGCGUGAGUGAUGAAGGCCUUAGGGUUGUAAAGCUCUUUUACCCGGGAUGAUAAUGACAGUACCGGGAGAAUAAGCUCCGGCUAACUCCGUGCCAGCAGCCGCGGUAAUACGGAGGGAGCUAGCGUUGUUCGGAAUUACUGGGCGUAAAGCGCACGUAGGCGGCUAUUCAAGUCAGAGGUGAAAGCCCGGGGCUCAACCCCGGAACUGCCUUUGAAACUAGAUAGCUUGAAUCCAGGAGAGGUGAGUGGAAUUCCGAGUGUAGAGGUGAAAUUCGUAGAUAUUCGGAAGAACACCAGUGGCGAAGGCGGCUCACUGGACUGGUAUUGACGCUGAGGUGCGAAAGCGUGGGGAGCAAACA